AUUGAACGCUGGCGGCAUGCCUAACACAUUCAAGUCGAGCGAUCGGCGGACGGGUGUGUAAUGUCUGGUAUACUGCCUGAUGGAGUGGGAUAACUACUGGAAACGGUAGCUAAUACCGCAUCCCCCAAGAUAUGCACAGAUGGGAUUAGCUAGGAGGUGGGGUAACGGCUCACCUCGGCGACGCUCCAUAGCUGGUCGGAGAGGAUGACCAGCCACACUGGAACUGAGACACGGUCCAGACUCCGACGGGAGGCAGCAGUGGGGAAUAUGGCACAAUGGGUGCAAGCCUGAUGCAGCCAGGCCGCGUGUGUGAAGAAGGCCUUCGGGUUGUAAAGCACUUUCAGCGAGGAGGCGUUACUCGCAGAAGAAGCAACGGCUAACUCCGUGCCAGCAGCCGCGGUAAUAC
rnacentral:rRNA from 1 species